UCUCGCAAAGCCUCCACAGCAGGAAAAAACCGGCUCCAGACGGCCUGCAGACCAGAGAGGUUUUCCUGGAAGAAGAAGAGGCUGAGUCACCGUUCCUGUCCGUGGUUCCCUUAGCCUCACAGAGCAAGCAGCAACCGGCAGAGAACAGAAAGCUGAGCUCCUGCACGCUCCAGGGACUCUCCUGACACACCUCUCCGGGACUCCCGGACUCGACUCCUGGUGGUCUUUUGGGGUCUCGUGAAUCGGGCACAAUGAAAGAAAGAAAUAGAAACCUAGAAGAAGGUGUUGGAUCCCUGGAACUGAAGUUACAGUGGCCAUUCGUUACACGGCUAUGGGAACCUACCCUGGAUCUUCUGCAAGAACAUGGCACUGAAGACUGAACCUAGGGCCUUGCACAGGCUAACCACACAUGCUGCCAGCUGGAUCGCCACUCUGCACCACCCCCACUUCUCACGUGUUUACAUGUCCUCUCUGGAACUGCCCGUUCUAACUCCACAGCCACUGGUCAUGUGGAGUGGCUAAAGUUGCAAUGACACCAAAUUCAGCGGCUGAACACAGACUGCGUUUACCCAGGGCACCCUGAGCCAACGUCACAGAGUCAGGAACGACAAUGGCAGGUGACAACAUGGAAUCUAUGGGUUGAGGAGGGGUGACUAGGAGCUGAUGGGUAGAGAAGUCUACAGAAAUCCACCUGGCCUUGCCUCCCAAGUGCUUUUUUUUUUUUUUUUUUAAUUCAGUUAGAUUGGCCUCCAAGUUGCCACAUGGGUAUAGGUGACCAUGAACUCCUGAGUCUCCUCUGGGUCCUGAAGGGUGGUCAGGUGCCAGGUGGACUUCACCGUACUUAGCUCAAAGUUCCAGUUUUGCAAGAUUAAAGGGUAUUUAGGAAUUGGCUGCACAACAGAAUGCUUCAAGUUGGGCUGGAGUCACAGGGCUUGCUCUGCAUUAUGAAGAAGACUGUGUUCCAUUUCUGGCAACAAAUCAAGCGAAAUCCACGAACUGCUACAUUUUCAUACUUAAAAAUUAGUACUGCAGGCCAGGUGCGGUGGAGCAUGCCCGUAAUCUCAGUACUCGGCACGCAGGGAGGCGGAGGCAGGCAGAUCUCUGUGAGUUUGAGGCCAGCCUGGUCUACCAGGCAAGUCCAGGACAGCCAAGGCUACACAGAGAAACCCUGUCUCAAAAAAAAAAAAAGAAAAAUUCAGUACUGUGGCUAAGUGGUGGUGCAUGCCUGUAAUCCCAGCACUCAGGAGGCAGGGGAGGCGGAUCUCUGUGAGUCCGAGGCCAGCCUGCUCUACAACAUGAGUCCAGGACAGCCAAGGCUACACAGAGAAACCUUGUCUCAAAAAACCAAAAAUGUGCACUCCUGUGGGCAUCUGAGCCUUAGAUGUUUCCCUAGAUCUCCGGUUCACUCCCAUUCUUGUCACAGCGUACCUCUGUAACACAUCUCAAGUAUUAAGUCAGAGGUCAACAUGUGGGAGUUGUUCUCUCCUUCUGUCGGGUGACAAUUCAGGUUGCCAUCCUUGUGGCAGCCUCUAUUCUCUCAAGCCUAAAAACUUCAAUUCCCAACAGUCUGGUGGCAGUUUUUUUAAAUAUGUAUGCGUAUUUUGCAUGCA